rnacentral:tRNA from 1 species
UGUGGGGUAGCUCAGUUUGUAGAGCGUGAGACUUUUAAUUUCCUGGUCGUGGGUUCGAGAUCUACAUUGGCAA